CGCUGAGCAAGUCGUUCCCACCAGGCAGCAGGCGUACCCACUGCCUUCCCACUGCGGACAGCAGACCACCUGCGGGCAGCAAGACUCUCCGCUGUCACAGCAUGGGAUGUCAUUGACGUGGCCUCCUCCGGAUGCGCUGGUGUUUCCUGUCGUCAGCACAAGCGUCAGAAAGAUCAUUCGGAACGGUCCGUUCCACCUGCGAAAGACGUGCUUACCAGUGCUCGGUCUCACCGCCCCCAUGGAAUAGCCGCCUGUCGACGGCCUACAGCAAAAGCACACACAGACCCACGUUGAGUAAAUCAGCAAGGCGAGCGAACAGAACCAAGGGCCGUACCAGGGGCAACAAAUGAGGACGCAUAACAAGUAGAGAUUGAGCAGGUUCAUCUCGGGCAAAUCGUGGCGGCAGUAAAGAGUGGCGAGGUUGCACCC
rnacentral:lncRNA from 1 species